GAUGAAGAACGUAGCGAAAUGCGAUAAGUAGUGUGAAUUGCAGAAUUCAGCGAAUCAUCGAAUCUUUGAACGCACAUUGCGCCCUUUGGUUAUUCCUUAGGGCAUGCCUGUUCGAGCGUCAUUUCAACCUUCAAGCCUAGCUUGGUGUUGGGUGAUUGUCCCGCCCCUGCGCGUGGACUCGCCCCAAAUGCAUUGGCAGCCGCAUCCCUCACAGCCGCGAGCGCAGCACAUUUGCGCGGACGGCCCGGGGGUGGGCGCUCCACGAAGAUCAACCACGUCUUGACCUCGGAUCAGGUAGGGAUACCCGCUGAACUUAAGCAUAUCAAAUAAGCGGAGGA
rnacentral:misc_RNA from 1 species